UACGGGGGGGGCAAGCGUUGUUCGGAAUUACUGGGCGUAAAGGGCUCGUAGGUGGCCAACUAAGUCAGACGUGAAAUCCCUCGGCUUAACCGGGGAACUGCGUCUGAUACUGGAUGGCUUGAGUUCGGGAGAGGGAUGCGGAAUUCCAGGUGUAGCGGUGAAAUGCGUAGAUAUCUGGAGGAACACCGGUGGCGAAGGCGGCAUCCUGGACCGACACUGACGCUGAGGAGCGAAAGCCAGGGGAGCGAACGGG
rnacentral:rRNA from 1 species